rnacentral:rRNA from 1 species
AGUCGAACGGCAGCACGGGUGCUUGCACCUGGUGGCGAGUGGCGAACGGGUGAGUAAUGUAUCGGAACGUAUCCGGAAGUGGGGGAUAGCCCGGCGAAAGCCGGAUUAAUACCGCAUAUGCCCUGAGGGGGAAAGUGGGGGACCGCAAGGCCUCACGCUUUCGGAGUGGCCGAUAUCGGAUUAGCUAGUAGGUUAGGUAAAGGCUGACCUAGGCGACGAUCCGUAGCGGGUCUGAAAGGAUGAUCCGCCACACUGGGACUGAGACACGGCCCAGACUCCUACGGGAGGCAGCAGUGGGGAAUUUUGGACAAUGGGGGCAACCCUGAUCCAGCCAUGCCGCGUGAGUGAAGAAGGCCUUCGGGUUGUAAAGCUCUUUCGGACGGAAAGAAAUUGCCAUCUCUAACAUAGGUGGUGGAUGACGGUACCGUAAGAAGAAGCACCGGCUAACUACGUGCCAGCAGCCGCGGUAAUACGUAGGGUGCGAGCGUUAAUCGGAAUUACUGGGCGUAAAGCGUGCGCAGGCGGUUUUGUAAGACAGGCGUGAAAUCCCCGGGCUUAACCUGCGAACUGCGCUUGUGACUGCAAGGCUAGAGUGCGGCAGAGGGGGGUAGAAUUCCACGUGUAGCAGUGAAAUGCGUAGAGAUGUGGAGGAAUACCGAUGGCGAAGCAGCCCCCUGGGUCGACACUGACGCUCAUGCACGAAAGCGUGGGGAGCAACAGGAUUUAGAUACCCUGGUAGUCCACGCCCUAAACGAUGUCAACUACGUGUCGGGGAAGGAGACUUUCUUUACUUACCGCCAGCUAACGCGUGAAGUU